rnacentral:tRNA from 1 species
GCCGGGAUGGAGGAACAUGGCAGACUCGAUGGACUCAAAAUCCAUUGCCCGAAAGGGCGUGAGGGUUCGAAUCCCUCUCCCGGCA